rnacentral:rRNA from 1 species
GGGGAUAAUUUAAUUAAUUAUGAAUAAUAAAAGAAAUUUUUAUUUGAAUAUAUUUUAAUGGGGGUUAAAGUAUAGUAAAAGAAAAAAUUUAAAAAUUUAUAGGGGAAUAGUAUUGUGAAAGAAUAUUGAAAUAAGUGAAAAUUUAAUUAUUUAUAAAGUAAAUUUAGUUUAUUGUAUCUUGUGUUUCAGAGUUUAUUAAAAAAUUUUUUUGGUUAAAAAUUUUUCGAAUUUAAAAGAGCUAAUUAAUUAAAAUUUUUAUUGUAGCAUAAAUAUAUAAAAUAAUUAAUUUGAAAUGAAAUGUUAUUCGUUUUUAAAUAUAUCUAAUUUUUUUAGAAAUAAAUUUAAUUUAGAAUUUAAUUUUUAAUUUAAUAAAUUAUAUUUAUUAGAUAAAAAUUAAAUUUAAUAUUUUAAGGGAUAAGCUUUAAAUUAAAUUUUUAUAAUAAUAAUAAUAUUUAAAAAUUAAAAUUUUUAAAAUUUAUAUUGUUUAUAAAUUAUAUUUUUUUAUAAAAAUUUUUAAUUUAAAUAAAAUUUUUAAUUUAUAAUUUAAAUUUUUAUAAAAAAAUAAUUUUUAAUUAGAAAAAUUUAGUUAUAAUGAUAAAAUUAGUAUAAUUAAUUAAAAUAAUUUAAUUAAAAUGGUUUAAAAUUAAAAAAAAGGAAUUCGGCAAAUAAAAAUAUUCACCUGUUUAACAAAAACAUGUCUUUUUGAGUUUAAUUUAAAGUCAAAUCUGCCCACUGAUUAAUUUAUUAAAGGGCUGCAGUAUAUUGACUGUACAAAGGUAGCAUAAUAAAUAGUCUUUUAAUUGAAGACUUGUAUGAAAGAUUUGAUGAAAUAUUAACUGUCUCUUUUUUAUAGUUAAAAUUUAAUUUUUUAGUAAAAAAGCUAAAAUUUAUUUAAAAGACGAGAAGACCCUAUAGAGUUUUAUAUUUAUUUUAUAAAAAAAUUAUAUAUUUAUAUAUAAUUUUUUUAUAAAAUAAAUAUUUUAUUGGGGUGAUAGAAAAAUUUAAUAAACUUUUUUUAUUUUUUUUUACAUAGAUUAAUGAUUAAUUGAUCCAUAAAUUAUGAUUAUAAGAAAAAAUUACCUUAGGGAUAACAGCGUAAUUUUUUUUUUUAGUUCUUAUAAAAAAAAAAGUUUGCGACCUCGAUGUUGGAUUAAGAUAAAAUUUAGAUGCAGAAGUUUAAAAUUUUGAUCUGUUCGAUCAUUAAAAUCUUACAUGAUCUGAGUUCAAACCGGCGUGAGCCAGGUUGGUUUCUAUCUUUAAAAAAAUAAAAUAUUUUAGUACGAAAGGAUUAAAUAUUUAAAAUAAUUUUAAAAAAAUGAAUUUUAUUAAUUUAAAUAUAUACAUAUAUAUAUAUAUAUAUAUA